GCCGGGCGCGGUGGCACGUGCCUAUAGUCCCAGCUACUCAGGAGGCUGAGGUGGGAGGAUCACUCGAGCCCAGGAGUUCUGGGCUGUAGUGCGCUAUGCCGAUCGGGUAUCCGCACUAAGUUCAGCAUCAAUAUGGUGAUCUCCUGGGAACGGGGGACCACCAGGUUGCCUAAGGAGGGGUGAACGGGCCCAGGUCGGAAACGGAGCAGGUCAAAAUUCCCAUGCCGAUAAGUAGCGGGAUCACGCCUGUGAAUAGCCACUGCACUCCAGCCUGGGCAACAUAGCGAGACCCCAUCUCU
rnacentral:SRP_RNA from 1 species